rnacentral:rRNA from 1 species
GACGUAGGGCGCGAGCGUUGUCCGGAUUUAUUGGGCGUAAAGAGCUCGUAGGCGGUUUGUCGCGUCUGCUGUGAAAACUGGAGGCUCAACCUCCAGCCUGCAGUGGGUACGGGCAGACUAGAGUGCGGUAGGGGAGAUUGGAAUUCCUGGUGUAGCGGUGAAAUGCGCAGAUAUCAGGAAGAACACCGGUGGCGAAGGCGGGUCUCGUGGGCAACAACGUAACGCUGAGGAGCGAAAGCGUGGGGAGCGAACAGG